AGAGUUUGAUCAUGGCUCAGGAUGAACGCUAGCGGCAGGCCUAAUACAUGCAAGUCGAACGGAUAUGAGGACUUCGGUUCUCAUGUUAGUGGCGCACGGGUGCGUAACGCGUAUGCAACCUACCUUUUACUGGGGGAUAGCCCGGAGAAAUCCGGAUUAAUACCGCAUAAUAUCAUUUGAGGGCAUCCGAAGAUGAUUAAAGAUUUAUUGGUAAAAGAUGGGCAUGCGUGCCAUUAGCUAGUUGGUGGUGUAACGGACCACCAAGGCGACGAUGGCUAGGGGUUCUGAGAGGAUGAUCCCCCACACUGGUACUGAGAUACGGACCAGACUCCUACGGGAGGCAGCAGUAGGGAAUAUUGGGCAAUGGACGCAAGUCUGACCCAGCCAUGCCGCGUGCAGGAUGAAGGCCUUCUGGGUUGUAAACUGCUUUUAUCUAGGAAGAAAAAACCCUUGCGAGGGGAACUGACGGUACUAGGUGAAUAAGCACCGGCUAACUCCGUGCCAGCAGCCGCGGUAAUACGGAGGGUGCAAGCGUUGUCCGGAUUUAUUGGGUUUAAAGGGUGCGUAGGCGGCCCGUUAAGUCCGUGGUGAAAGCCAACAGCUCAACUGUUGAACUGCCAUGGAUACUGACGGGCUUGAGUACAGACGAGGUAGGCGGAAUGGAUGGUGUAGCGGUGAAAUGCAUAGAUACCAUCCAGAACACCGAUUGCGUAGGCAGCUUACUAGGCUGUAACUGACGCUGAGGCACGAAAGCGUGGGGAGCGAACAGGAUUAGAUACCCUAGUAGUCC
rnacentral:rRNA from 1 species